rnacentral:rRNA from 1 species
CCAGACUCCUACGGGAGGCAGCAGUGGGGAAUAUUGGGCAAUGGGCGAAAGCCUGACCCAGCAACGCCGCGUGAAGGAAGAAGGCUUUCGGGUUGUAAACUUCUUUUCUGAGGGACGAAGAAAGUGACGGUACCUCAGGAAUAAGCCACGGCUAACUACGUGCCAGCAGCCGCGGUAAUACGUAGGUGGCAAGCGUUAUCCGGAUUUAUUGGGUGUAAAGGGCGUGUAGGCGGGAAAGCAAGUCAGAUGUGAAAACUCAGGGCUCAACCCUGAGCCUGCAUUUGAAACUGUUUUGCUUGAGUGCUGGAGAGGCAAUCGGGAUUCCGUGUGUAGCGGCGAAAUGCGUAGAUAUACGGAGGAACACCAGUGGCGAAGGCGGAUUGCUGGACAGUAACUGACGCUGAGGCGCGAAAGCGUGGGGAGCAAACAGGAUUAGAUACCCUCGUAA